rnacentral:lncRNA from 1 species
ACCCACAGGUGUGUCCGGAGCUGGCCCCAGACACAAAGCGCCAAGAAUUGGCGGGGACAUCUCAGCCGGCGGGGACACACCCCGGAGUCCGAGGUCCCCGUCACCAGGGUGCAGCUGCCCAGCUCGCCAAGCUCAGGGCCUUCUCCUCUGUAUUUUCUGUCUGGAAUUCCACGCACCCUAUCUUGAAACAGCUGACACCGGGCCCCAACUUAAAUGUUACCUCUAAGACGUCCUUUUCCCUCAUCUUAAAAUAAACCACCCUUACCCUCCCACUCUCAAUUCCUUUAAGUUAAAUUAUUUCCUUCUUAGUGUUUAUUACUACCUGUAAUUCAUUUCUUUGUUCACUUUUUUAUCAUCAUUCUUCCCUACCAGACUGUCCUCUCCAGAAGCCAGCGCCUUGGCCGUCUGCAUCUCACUGUGUCCUCGGCACUUAGAACAGUCCUGGUGCACAGUAGGUGCGCUUGGUGGGGAUGAGAUCAGUGAACAGAUGAAGGCAGAAGGGCCUUCAUGCCACAGAAGGACAUGGGGACAGGAAAGGGCUCGGCCAGGAUAUCCCUUCCUGUGGCCGACAGUCAACAGAGCCUUCCCCACUGCCAGACCGAAGGUCUCUUCCUCCUCCUAGUAUCCAUGACCUUGGGCCUGCUGGCCCUGGGCAGGGCCAUGGUCACACUCGCCAAGUCCCAAAGCAUCUCAGACCCAUGCCCAGGCCUGAAGAGUGGCUGAGUUCAACAGGAAGGGUGCCAUCUGGGCACUGGACCAGCACCGUGGGAGACCACUUCCCCUGGCUAAGCCUCAGUUUCCUCAUCCGUGACAUAAGGCUACAGCUCCUGUCACCUCAGAAUGGCUGCUAGGACCACAGUGCAGCAAAGGGCUUUGGGGUACUCCACCCCCCUGUUCUUGUAGAAGUCCCCCGACUCCACUGUUCCUGAGCUGGGGGCAGGCCCUCUGCCUCCUAAACCAGACACACUGUGGCCCCACCUACACUUGAACCCAGCCCAGCCAG